ACGAAGGUCCCAAGCGUUGUUCGGAAUCACUGGGCGUAAAGGGAGCGUAGGCGGCGCGGUAAGUCAGAUGUGAAAUCCCGGGGCUCAACCCCGGAACUGCAUCCGAUACUGCCGUGCUUGAGGGUUGGAGAGGUAGCUGGAAUUAUCGGUGUAGCAGUGAAAUGCGUGGAUAUCGAUAGGAACACUCGUGGCGAAGGCGAGCUACUGGACAACAUCUGACGCUGAGGCUCGAAGGCUAGGGGAGCAAAAGGG
rnacentral:rRNA from 1 species